UUUUUUUUUUUUUUUUUUGAGUAGUGAAAUAAAUAUGGGAAAUGGAUUCAUUUGGCUCCUUUCAGUAUGGAUAUGCUAUAUUGAAAUUUUUCUUAUUGCUUCCAACAUUUCUGCAUUUUCUUUUUAAAAGUUGGUAUUACGUGUGGACCUGGAUAAUUGUAUUUGUUUGGAAAAAAAAACAGUACAUAUUAACUAAAGGCUUAGAAAGCUAUACAGUAUAUUAUACCUACUUUUAUAGAAUUCCAAAAACUACUUUUUCACAUAUUUGAGUUGCACUUUCUGAAAGUGAACAGAAAGUAACACAACUAUCUAAAUAGCAAUGAGCUUGAUGUUGAGUUUUAGAAGCUAUAGAGAUGAUUGCAGUUUUAUUUACUUUAUGAAGGACAUAAUUCCCUCAACUAAAUUUUUAAAGAUUGUCCAUAUUAAUAUCGAGUAACUUCCUUGGAUUUGUGGUUUUGCCAUAGCUUUUUAAAAAUGGAGAGUCCUUUGGUUUAGGACUUCCCCCCAGUUUUUUCAGACCAGCAAGCUCCCUUUAAACAGGGAAUGAUGUUUUUUAAACUUUCAGUGGUGUUGUCUCCAUCUACUGGCAAAGAAGAAUAUACACAAGGGUCUGGGAUGAGCUAAGAGAUUUUGGAGAAACCACAUUAUUAGGUAAGAUGUAACUUACAUAUCUAACCACUGUAAUGUAACAUGGCUCACUUAAAGGUAGAAACCCAUAAAAUACUGCAUAUACUCUUAUUUUAAAAUAAUUUGUUGAGGUGAAAUUUACAUAGCACAUUCAUGGUACCUGCCUAUAUGUUCUUAAAUAUAUCUGUUCUAUAGCAUCCCAUUCUUGUGUGUAUCUGUGUGUGCAUGUGUGUGUCUGUAUGAGUCUCUGAUGCAUGUGCGUGUCUAUGUGUGUUUGUUUAAAAAUUAGCUUCUUGUUGUGAAUCAGGCAAGAUAAAUAUCUUUUUUUAGGAUUUACUUUUAGUUUGUGUUCAGCUUGUAAAGGUUCAUCUAUAUCUAAUUUCAGUUCUACCUUUUAUUUUUCUUCCACUUCAAACCAGUUUCAAGUUAUAAAUUAUCUAAAUCAGGAGUUUUAGAUUUUAUGGCUAUUGUUGCAACCACUUUUUCUGCUGUUCCAAACCCGAAAUGAACCAUGCAAGAAAAGGAGAUGAGCAGAAGUGGUGGCCUACACCUGUAAUCCAGUACUGCAAUCCCAGUACAGGGGAGGCUGUGGUAGGAAAAUCAUUGGUUUGAGGCCAGCCUGGGCUAUAUAUAUUACAAGUUCCAGGCCAGAGUGGGCUACAUAGUGAGACCCUGUCUCAAAAAGUAUUCAAAAAUAUGGUUGUGUUCCAAUAAUACUUAAUAUUCUAAAAAGUACGUGGUAGUCUAUAAUUGGCUAACAGGCCCUAAUUUGCUGACCUAUGAUCUAAUAAUUAUGAGAAUAUAUACUGUAAAUUUAUAAAAUUGCAUUCUUAGGGGUAGUAAUCCAAUACUCAUUGGAAUUCUUAUUUUUAUAAUGAAAAUUUGAUAAAGAUCUGAUAAUAGACUUUCUUAAGAUUAAGGGAAUUUUCAGGUAGCUACUAUACUUAUAGAUCACCAUACUUUGUAAUAUGUGCUCUUCUUAUUUUGGUGAAUAGAAAUAAGUUUAGGUAAUACCACCCUUAGAAUUUUCAGACAGAUAAAUUGUUCAAGUCUAAAUUUAGUAUUUACAUGUCCACUUCUUAUGGAGAAAGAAUAAAAGACCCUUCUCAAAGGUGACUAGUUACUCUGAUGCUAGAUGAGAUAGACAGACUUGCUUGUGUAUAUAAGAAAUAUGAAAGAACUGACUUGAAAGUGAGUAUUACACUCACAAAAGGUACAGAUUAUUUGAACUGCUGUACUAUUUAAUAAAUACACACUUUUCCUAAAAAUUGUUUCAUAGUGAUUGAGAAAAGAUUUGUUCAUAAAAUUGUACAGAUGCAUUUUAUUUGGAAAAACAGGUGCAUGAUCACUCCAAUGCACGUUUAAACUUGUAGUUAGUUUAAUAUUGACACAUUGUCAGGAAAUCCAUCUCAUGGUGUUACUCAGUUAAGAGGUCUCCACUGUAUUUAGUUUCUGUUCCUGCAGAUCCACCAAUUCAAGACUCUAGGUCAUCUCACUCCCUCUUCCAUCCAGAAGAUGACUGCUAUCCACAAGCAGAACUGAAUCAAAAGACAUUUUUCACUUAGCUCUUGAGCUGAAACACCUCCUCAAUGACCUUCCUCUGUCUCCAUCAAGAACUGGAGCUCAGUUUUUUGAAGAUGUAAUAGAGCUACUCAGCCCAAAUGUGGCUGAUUGAAGACAAAGAAGAUACCUCAUAUGUCUCACCACAGUGCAUCAAACGCAACUGUGUUGUCCAUCUCCUCAUUCUGUACAGUAAGGCAGGGGCAUCUGAUUUUUUGACCGUAUUCACCAUUAAGACUUUAGCCAGUGAGUGGCUUUCUGAGGAUCAGUAAAAUCAACAAACUUUGGGUCAGCUGUCCAGAAAUCAGACUAUGGUAAGCACUCAAGGAGCUAGGAUGCUGUAGGGAGCUUGUAAAGGAUGCUUUCUUUUAUUGGUAGAGGUUGCUUUUAUGGGGAAAGCUGGGGGGAAGAGGCCAGUGGAGAGCCCAAUGAUUAGCAAAGUUUAGCUUCUUCUUUGUUUUCUUGGAAAUCAUAUAGCUCAGGAUAUUUUUCACACCACAAAAAGAGAAUUAGAAGUAUUAUGGCUUCUAACUCUUCCUAGAAAAACCAGCUUUACUUUUGCUACAUGAAGAGAAAAAUAUAUAUAAGUGAAAAAUUCUUUUGUAAAUACCAGACUACAUUUUCUCUUUUAUAAAUUCUGACUUUAUAAUUAUUUUGUUGCUGAGUUUUAUAAACUUAAUUUUAUUGUCUAUAUAUAUGUUUGUACAUAAUUAUGCCUUGUAUAUAGUAUUUGGGAUUAUAACUUUAAUACUGAUGUCACUUUUAAUUAGAGAACAGUAUUUGAAUAGUAACUUACUGUACAAAGUAUUAAAAACAAUACCUCAGGGGGUUGGGGAUUUAGCUCAGUGGUAAAGUGCUUGCCUAGCAAGCCCAAGGCCCUGGGUUCGGUCCUCAGCUCCGGAAAAAAG
rnacentral:lncRNA from 1 species